CUUAGGAACAAAAACAAUUUUCAGCUUCUGCGAUGUAUUUGCCUGUGAUAUGAUGAAAAGCAGAAAGCAAGAGGCAGAUGGGCUUUCGUGAGUGCCCACCAUUUGGCUGUUUUCACAAAUGACACUAUGCUAGGCACAAGGCUCAGGUUGAUGGAAGGUGAAUUUUGUCUUCAUAUUACUCCAUUUGGAGAAUAAUUUACUCCAGUGCUUCCUGGAGCUGUUUGAUGGUGGAGGCCAUGGAAGGUGUAAAGAAAAAAAAAAUCUUUCUCAAAGGAUACUAAGGAUAUAUCCUGAUAGGAGAAGCUAAAUAUUUAUAAAAGCAAGUGAGGACAGAUGAGGACACUGAGGCUCAGCGAGGUGAAGCUGUGCAUUGGGCCUGGGACCCAUGGACAUCUGGGGCUGGAGCACUCUUCAUGGGGGAAAGGGAAGAUCUUAGCUACAGUGACUUUCCUUCUGCUCCUCAACUUCUGGCUGGAUGCACCCAAUCAAGUAUACACAUGUAGCAGGCCUAGGCUAAUUACAAGAUAA